AACGAACGCUGGCGGCAGGCCUAACACAUGCAAGUCGAGCGAGGACUUCGGUCCUAGCGGCGGACGGGUGAGUAACGCGUGGGAACGUGCCCUUUGCUUCGGAAUAGCCCUGGGAAACUGGGAGUAAUACCGGAUGAGCCCUUUGGGGGAAAGAUUUAUCGGCGAAGGAUCGGCCCGCGUUGGAUUAGGUAGUUGGUGGGGUAAUGGCCUACCAAGCCGACGAUCCAUAGCUGGUUUGAGAGGAUCAUCAGCCACACUGGGACUGAGACACGGCCCAGACUCCUACGGGAGGCAGCAGUGGGGAAUCUUAGACAAUGGGGGAAACCCUGAUCUAGCCAUGCCGCGUGAGCGAUGAAGGCCUUAGGGUUGUAAAGCUCUUUCAGCUGGGAAGAUAAUGACGGUACCAGCAGAAGAAGCCCCGGCUAACUCCGUG
rnacentral:rRNA from 1 species